UGGGGAAUAUUGGACAAUGGGCGAAAGCCUGAUCCAGCCAUGCCGCGUGUGUGAAGAAGGUCUUCGGAUUGUAAAGCACUUUAAGUUGGGAGGAAGGGCAGUAACCUAAUACGUUUCUGUCUUGACGUUACCGACAGAAUAAGCACCGGCUAACUCUGUGCCAGCAGCCGCGGUAAUACAGAGGGUGCAAGCGUUAAUCGGAAUUACUGGGCGUAAAGCGCGCGUAGGUGGUUUGUUAAGUUGGAUGUGAAAUCCCCGGGCUCAACCUGGGAACUGCAUUCAAAACUGACAAGCUAGAGUAUGGUAGAGGGUGGUGGAAUUUCCUGUGUAGCGGUGAAAUGCGUAGAUAUAGGAAGGAACACCAGUGGCGAAGGCGACCACCUGGACUGAUACUGACACUGAGGUGCGAAAGCGUGGGGAGCAAACAGGAUUAGAUACCCAUGUAGUCCCUGAGCGGGCUGGCAAGGCGCAU
rnacentral:rRNA from 1 species